AUGUCUCAGCACAAGCCUUAAAAUGGUGAAGCCGCGAAUAGCUCCAUUACAACAGUCGUAGUUUAUUAGAAAGUUUCCGACUUGGAUAACUGUGGUAAUUUCCAGAGCUAAUACAUGUUCCAAGCCCUGACUUCGGAAAGGGUGCAUUUAUUAGAACAAGGCCAAUCAGACUUCGGUCUGUCUCAGGUUGACUCUGAAUAACUUUGCUAAUCGCACAGUCUCUGUACUGGCGAUGUAUCUUUCAAAUGUCUGCCUUAUCAACUGUUGAUGGUAGAUUAUGCGCCUACCAUGGUUAUAACGGGUAACGGAGAAUCAGGGUUUGAUUCCGGAGAGGGAGCCUGAGAAACAGCUACCACAUCCAAGGAAGGCAGCAGGCACGCAAAUUACCCACUCCCGGCUCGGGGAGGUAGUGACGAAAAAUAACGAGACGGUGCUCUAUGAGUAUCGUCAUCGGAAUGAGUACAAUCUAAAUACUUUAACGAGUAUCUAUUGGAGGGCAAGUCUGGUGCCAGCAGCCGCGGUAAUUCCAGCUCCAAUAGCGUAUAUUAAAGUUGUUGCGGUUAAAAAGCUCGUAGUUGGAUCUGAGACUGCGGACGACGGUCCCCGUCAUGGGUUGUACUGUCCGUUCCGGUCUAAUCUGUUGGUUUGUGUGCGGUGCUCUUUAUUGGGUGUCGUAUGCUGCCAGCUAUUUUACUUUGAAAAAAUUAGAGUGCUCAAAGCAGGCGCUUGCUCGAAUAUUGGUGCAUGGAAUAAUGGAAUAGGGCCUUGGCUCUAUUUUGUUGGUCUAUGAGUACGAGGCAAUGAUUAGGAGAAACAGACGGGGGCAUUUGUAUUGCGACGUUAGAGGUGAAAUUCUUGGAUCGUCGCAAGACAAACAACUGCGAAAGCAUUUGCCAAGAAUGUUUUCAUUAAUCAAGAACGAAAGUUAGAGGUUCGAAGGCGAUCAGAUACCGCCCUAGUUCUAACCGUAAACGAUGCCAACUAGCGAUUCGCAGAAGUUAGUUAAACGACUCUGCGAGCAGCUUCCGGGAAACCAAAGUGUUUGGGUUCCGGGGGAAGUAUGGUUGCAAAGCUGAAACUUAAAGGAAUUGACGGAAGGGCACCACCAGGAGUGGAGCCUGCGGCUUAAUUUGACUCAACGCGGGAAAACUCACCCGGCCCGGACACUAUAAGGAUUGACAGACUAAAAGCUCUUUCUUGAUUUGGUGGAUGGUGGUGCAUGGCCGUUCUUAGUUGGUGGAGUGAUUUGUCUGGUUAAUUCCGAUAACGAACGAGACUCUAUCCUGCUAAAUAGACUGGAGGUUUUGUUGCUUCCAGAGCUUCUUAGAGGGACUAGUGACGUUUAGUCACGUGAAGGAGAGCAAUAACAGGUCUGUGAUGCCCUUAGAUGUUCGGGGCCGCACGCGCGCUACAAUGAACAAGGCAGAAAGUUUGAACUCCUUCUCCGAAGUGAGAGGGUAACCUGCAAACUUGUUCGUGAUUGGGACAGGGAAUUGUAAUUAUUUCCCUUGAACGAGGAAUUCCUAGUAGGUUCAGCUCAACACGCUGAGCCGAUUACGUCCCUGCCCUUUGUACACACCGCCCGUCGCUACUACCGAUUGAGCGACUAAGUGAGGGUUUUGGAGCCUUGGUGUUGACUUUCGUCUCGCUGAGGUGAAGACUCCCAAACUUCGCCGCUUAGAGGAAGU
rnacentral:rRNA from 1 species